rnacentral:rRNA from 1 species
GACGAACGCUGGCGGCGUGCUUAACACAUGCAAGUCGAACGGAAAGGCCCUGCUUUUGUGGGGUGCUCGAGUGGCGAACGGGUGAGUAACACGUGAGUAACCUGCCCUUGACUUUGGGAUAACUUCAGGAAACUUGGGCUAAUACCGGAUAGGAGCUCCUGCUGCAUGGUGGGGGUUGGAAAGUUUCGGCGGUUGGGGAUGGACUCGCGGCUUAUCAGCUUGUUGGUGGGGUAGUGGCUUACCAAGGCUUUGACGGGUAGCCGGCCUGAGAGGGUGACCGGGCACAUUGGGACUGAGAGACGGCGCAGACUCCUACGGGAGGCAGCAGUGGGGAAUAUAGCACAAUGGGCGGAAGACUGAGGCAGAAACGCCGCGUGCGGGAUGACGGGCUUCGGGUUGUAAACCGCUUUCGCCUGUGACGAAGCGUGAGUGACGGUAAUGGGUAAAGAAGCACCGGCUAACUACGUG